rnacentral:rRNA from 1 species
AACGCUAGCUACAGGCUUAACACAUGCAAGUCGAGGGGCAGCGGGAGAUGUAGCAAUACAUUUUGCCGGCGACCGGCGCACGGGUGAGUAACACGUAUGCAACCUGCCCAUAGCAGGGGGAUAACCCGGAGAAAUCCGGACUAAUACCGCGUAAUACUUUUGAAAGGCAUCUUUUAAAAGUUAAAGAUUUAUCGGCUAUGGAUGGGCAUGCGGCGCAUUAGUUAGUUGGCGGGGUAACGGCCCACCAAGACGACGAUGCGUAGGGGUUCUGAGAGGAAGGUCCCCCACAUUGGUACUGAGACACGGACCAAACUCCUACGGGAGGCAGCAGUGAGGAAUAUUGGUCAAUGGGCGCGAGCCUGAACCAGCCAAGUCGCGUGAGGGAAGACGGUCCUAUGGAUUGUAAACCUCUUUUGUCAGGGAGCAAAAGGCGUCACGUGUGACGCAAAGGAGAGUACCUGAAGAAAAAGCAUCGGCUAACUCCGUGCCAGCAGCCGCGGUAAUACGGAGGAUGCGAGCGUUAUCCGGAUUUAUUGGGUUUAAAGGGUGCGUAGGCGGAUAGUUAAGUCAGCGGUAAAAUUGAGAGGCUCAACCUCUUCGAGCCGUUGAAACUGGGUUGUCUAGAGUGAGUGAGAAGUACGCGGAAUGCGAGGUGUANCGGUGAAAUGCAUAGAUAUCACGAAGAACUCCGAUUG